rnacentral:rRNA from 1 species
CAAGUCGAACGGGCGUAGCAAUACGUCAGUGGCGGACGGGUGAGUAACACGUGGGAAUAUGCCUUUCGGUUCGGAACAACUCGGGGAAACCCGUGCUAAUUCCGGAUACGCCCUUAGGGGGAAAGAUUUAUCGCCGAAAGAUUAGCCCGCGUCCGAUUAGCUAGUUGGUGAGGUAAAGGCUCACCAAGGCACCGAUCGGUAGCUGGUUUGAGAGAACGACCAGCCACACUGGGACUGAGACACGGCCCAGACUCCUACGGGAGGCAGCAGUGGGGAAUCUUGGACAAUGGGCGCAAGCCUGAUCCAGCCAUGCCGCGUGAGUGAUGAAGGCCUUCGGGUUGUAAAACUCUUUUGGCGGGGACGAUAAUGACGGUACCCGCAGAAUAAGCUCCGGCUAACUUCGUGCCAGCAGCCGCGGUAAUACGAAGGGGGCUAGCGUUGUUCGGAAUUACUGGGCGUAAAGCGUGCGCAGGCGGCUUCUCAAGUCAGGGGUGAAAGCCCAGAGCUCAACUCUGGAACUGCCUUUGAGACUGAGAGGCUUGAGUACGGGAGAGGUGAGUGGAAUUCCCAGUGUAGAGGUGAAAUUCGUAGAUAUUGGGAAGAACACCGGUGGCGAAGGCGGCUCACUGGCCCGUAACUGACGCUCAUGCACGACAGCGUGGGGAUCAAACAGGAUUACAUACCCUGGUAGUCCGCGCCGUAAACUAUGAACGCUCGCCGUUGGGUAGCUUGCUAUUCAGUGGCGCAGCUAACGCAGGAAGCGUUCCGCCUGGGGAGUACGGCCGCAAGGUUGAAC